rnacentral:lncRNA from 12 species
CCCCGCCGCAGCCCGCGCCCCCGCCCCGCAUGCACGCACGGCCCGGCGGAGCGCAGGGAGAGGGUGGGGGACAGGAUGGGGAGGGGGCUGCCGAGGGCUGGCCGCGGUCCCACACCCUCCAGAGGGGAGAAGAAGGAUGAGGCGCUUCCAUAAGGAUCCAAGGAAAUCCCUCUGCCAGCUAUAUGACAGGAAAGCAAGGGGCUCCUGGGCACGGGACACGCAGCCCCAGGAGGACGGGAGGGGGGCACAACACCCUGGAAGCAGAGGAAGCACUCUACAGAGCUGGAUCUCUUCAGCCCCUCGGACAAGUUGGAAUCGAUUCAUUGGCCACAAAAGGAUGCGGAGCCCCGGGGGGGUCCGGGGUCCCCAUGCAGCGAGUUCUACAAGCAAGGUCCGUACCGGGCUCCUCAUGCCCUCUGCUAGGUCACUUUUACCUCCCGGGGAAAGUAAAGACCGACAGGUACAGCGUGUCCUGCACAGCCCGAACAACCACCAGAGAAAAGUUCUCCUGCGGAGGGAGCGGGGCUGCGGCGGGGGAAGGCAGCAGAACCCCCGGGCUCACUGCAGACCCCCGGCAGCAGAGUCCGAGCCCCCGGCCCACACUUGACCCAGAGUUAAUGUGGGGAACAGUGUUCGAUCGCGCGGGCGAGAGCCUUUCCCAAAAUUCAGGAGAUUUUUCCAGUGAAUGGUUCCUGGGACACGUGGAGCAGCCCCGGGAAGAGAUUCAUGUGGCAGUGGCCGUGGGCAGCGGCGAAUUUGGCCGCAGCCUUGGCGUUCUGCGAGGAUCAGAGCCAGGCAAAGAGGAUUUGGGUCAGAGAGACCAGAGAGUGGAUCCCUCACCGUCAUCCCCCCAGCGCCGCUCCUCAGCUCCGCGGUUCCCUCCCGGGCUCCGAAGGGCUCUGGGUACAAGCGACAGCUUUUCCUGAAAUAGGCAGCGAUUUUCC